rnacentral:rRNA from 1 species
GUGCAGCAGGCGCGAAAACUUUACAAUGUGCGAAAGCACGAUAAGGGAACUCUGAGUGCCUCCUAAGGAGGCUGUUCAGGUGUCUAAAAAGCACCUGAAGGAAGGGCUGGGUAAGACCGGUGCCAGCCGCCGCGGUAACACCGGCAGCCCAAGUGGUAGCCACGUUUAUUGGGUCUAAAGCGUCCGUAGCCGGCUGGGUAAGUUCCUUGGGAAAUUUGGCUGCUUAACAGUCAAGCUUUCAGGGAAUACUGCUCGGCUUGGGACCGGGAGAGGUCAGAGGUACUCCAGGGGUAGGGGUGAAAUCCAUUAAUCCUUGGGGGACCACCGGUAGCGAAGGCGUCUGACCAGACCGGGUCCGACGGUGAGGGACGAAGGCUA